GACGAACGCUGGCGGCGUGCUUAACACAUGCAAGUCGAACGGAAAGGCCCUGCUUUUGUGGGGUGCUCGAGUGGCUAACGGGUGAGUAACACGUGAGUAACCUGCCCUUUACUUUGGGAUAACUUCAGGAAACUGGGGCUAAUACCGGAUAGUAGCUCCUGCUGCAUGGUGGGGGUUGGAAAGUUUCGGCGGUUGGGGAUGGACUCGCGGCUUAUCAGCUUGUUGGUGGGGUAGUGGCUUACCAAGGCUUUGACGGGUAGCCGGCCUGAGAGGGUGACCGGCCACAUUGGGACUGAGAUAAGGCCCAGACUCCUACGGGAGGAAGCAGUGGGGAAUAUUGCACAAUGGGCGGAAGCCUGAUGCAGCAACGCCGCGUGCGGGAUGACGGCCUUCGGGUUGUAAACCGCUUUCGCCUGUGACGAAGCGUGAGUGACGGUAAUGGGUAAAGAAGCACCGGCUAACUACGUG
rnacentral:rRNA from 1 species